GAUGAACGCUGACAGAAUGCUUAACACAUGCAAGUCAACUUGAACUUCGGUUUGGGUGGCGGACGGGUGAGUAACGCGUAAAGAACUUGCCUCACAGAUAGGGACAACAUUUGGAAACGAAUGCUAAUACCUGAUAUUAUGAUUAUAUGGCAUCGUAUAAUUAUGAAAGCUAUAUGCGCUGAGAGAGAGCUUUGCGUCCCAUUAGCUAGUUGGAGAGGUAACGGCUCACAAAGGCGAUGAUGGGUAGCCGGCCUGAGAGGGUGAUCGGCCACAAGGGGACUGAGACACGGCCCUUACUCCUACGGGAGGCAGCAGUGGGGAAUAUUGGACAAUGGACCAAGAGUCUGAUCCAGCAAUUCUGUGUGCACGAUGAAGUUUUUCGGAAUGUAAAGUGCUUUCAGUUGGGAAGAAAAAAAUGACGGUACCAACAGAAGAAGUGACGGCUAAAUACGUG
rnacentral:rRNA from 1 species